rnacentral:rRNA from 1 species
UACGGAGGGUGCAAACGUUGCUCGGAAUCAUUGGGCGUAAAGCGCACGUAGGCGGUCCAGCAAGUCGGGUGUGAAAGCCCUCGGCUUAACCGAGGAAGUGCAUUCGAAACUACUGGACUUGAAUACUGGAGAGGAUCGCGGAAUUCCCGGUGUAGAGGUGAAAUUCGUAGAUAUCGGGAGGAACACCAGUGGCGAAGGCGGCGAUCUGGACAGUUCCUGACACUGAGGCACGAAGGCCAGGGGAGCAAACGGG